AUGUAUCUUGCCCUUAGUUUCUUCUCUACCCCGAUCUCUCUCUAGCUCUCUCUCCUUUUUGGUCUUGUGUUUCGGAUGAUUAAAUCACCUUGAUCACCUCUGUAUUUAUACUCAUCACCAUCACCAUGUGCUUUUCCUUUUUGCCUUCGUAUCACGUCAUUUAACCGACAUAGCUUAAAUGGAAACUAACGUCAUGUUUCCCUUUUGUUUAUGCAGGGAUUCACUAUUGGGCUGGAGAUUUAGAGAUGGGUCAAGAGAGAAUUGGGCUUUUAUCUCUACAAUCUCCACCUAAAGCCCAUAUUCUUGCCUUCUCUUGUCACCACUUUGAUGAUACCGACAACGUUUUCAAGCUUCCAUCUUCUUCCUCCUUUGAUCUGAAACGCGCUCUGUGAUAGCUUAACUUGUUGAAUCCCUGUCAUCAUGCUCCUCGUUCUCACCGUUCCCAUGUGACUUCAAUCACCAAACCAGAAAUUACUCUUUCUCUGCUCUCUCUCUUCGACAAUUCCGACGAAUCUCGUGAGACGUUGAUGACGUCAUAUCAGUGACUCCUCCCGUCUUUGCUCUGACGAGUCUGUGUAGCUCGUACGCCGCUACUGUUUAUUCACCCUUUCUCACUUUGAUUCCUUACACCGGACUGCAAUGAAAACGACCUUUACAUCUCCAAUGGUGAUGAAGACGACCUCUGAACAGAACCUGUUUCGUCUGGUGAACUGGGAAUUGUUGUUUCUCAACCAGCUUCACAUCUACCCUUGUCUUUAAUCCCCUCCAUGGAUAGCGAUUCAACUUCUCAAAUCUUCAACUCAACCUCCUGUAAAAACGCAUCAUCUGAACACCAACUUGUUCUUCAUCAUGAGAUGCCCACAAUCUCCAAGAAGCUCGCGAGUUCUUCAUGGUGACUGGUGAAUCUCUGUUUUACCUACUGGUGGUGAUCGAUUUAAUAUGUCUUACCGGUGAUACUGCAGCUUUCCGUCGUUCCUACGUUUACGGUGACCCUUUGGAGACUCCUCUGCUACUCCGACAAACCCAGUUCUAGCCUUCAUAGAAUCUUUGUUGAUCAGUCGAAGUUCUAUGUGUUGCUAAACAAUUCUCAGACCUCGUUGUAGCAUGAACACCAAGCAUGUGUUUUCCUCUUUGAUGAUCUUUGGGUAAACCAUUUUAUUAC